rnacentral:rRNA from 1 species
UACAGAGGGUGCAAGCGUUAAUCGGAAUUACUGGCGUAAAGCGUGCGCAGACGGUUGCGUAAGUCAGAUGUGAAAGCCCCGGGCUCAACCUGGGAAUUGCAUUUGAGACUGCGUAGCUAGGGUGCGGAAGAGGGAAGCGGAAUUUCCGGUGUAGCGGUGAAAUGCUUAGAUAUGACAUAGAACACCAAUUGCGAAGGCAGCUCACUACACGCAUAUUGACUCUGAGGCACGAAAGCGUGGGGAUCAAACAGG